UUGGUACUCCCUCCGUCCGGAAAUACUUGUCAUUAAAAUGGAUAAACAGGGAUGUAUCUAGAUACAUCUUUUUUUAUCCAUUUUGAUGACAAGUAUUUUCGAACGAAGGGAGUACUUA
rnacentral:pre_miRNA from 1 species